ACUGGAGGGAGCCCCGGCAGUGCCCAGAGAGGACGGAAGAGCACCAAAUAGUGGGGUGUCCAGCGUGGUUGUAUACCGUCUUGGAACAAAGAGCUUUCAUCUCUCGUGACAAGAAUAUCUCCUUUACUACUGUCAGGAGAGGUUUAGCUGCCACAGCAGGUCGGUGGUCAGCAGGUCAGUGGUCACAAGAUGUUCUCAUUCCAGAGGGAAGGAACGUCCAGAAACUCCUUCUGCUAAAAAAUUAACAGAUAUAGGAAUUAGAAGAAUCUUCUCUUCAGAGCAUGACAUUUUCUGGGAAAGUGUAAGGAAGUUUUUUCAAGAAGAAUUGAUUCCUCGUCACGCAGAUUGGGCAGGCCCAGGUUUUAGUCUUCAUUCGGAUAUUGUCAUGCCCUGUAUUGCAAACCACGUCUCGGAAGAACAGAUGAAGCAUGUACCCCUGGUGAUGGCAGGGAGAUGCACUGGUGCCGUGGCAGUGAGAGAGCCCAGGCUGGAGGUUACAGUGAUUUGCAAGGAGUAAGAACAAAUGCCAGAAAGGAUGGAAGUGACUGGCUUGUCAAUGGAAGCAAGUCGUGACUUGCACAUGGCCCUGAGGUACCGUGGAGCAUCACAGUAUAUCGGGGUGUUGCAGGUGUUCAUCGCUAAUGGGUGGCUCAGUGUUGUUGUGAUCGUAGUGGCGGUCACAGAUCGUGAAGCUCGCUCUCCUGCCCAUGGCAUUAGCCUUUUUCUGGUGGAAAAUGGAAUGAAAAGAUUUAUCAAGGGAUGAAAGCUACAUAAAAUGGGACUAAAAGCCCAGUUGCAGGUCCUUCUAGUUCUGCUAUGUGGGACACCACCUCAGCAUGGCUUGAUGAGCAGUGCUAGGUCCAGGAUCCAACCCGGUGAAACCCUUGGCCGCUGAAGCAGAGCGCACGAACUUAACCACUCAGCCACGGGGCCGGCCCCAGGAAUAAAGGCUUCUAUUACCUCAUGCAAGAGCUUCCACAGGAAAGGCUAUUGAUUGCUGAGUUGGGAAUUUCAGCCAGUGAAUUCAUGUUUGAAGAAACGAGGACCUACGUUAAACAAAGAAAAGCCUUUAGGAAAACAGUUGCACAUAUACAGAAGGCAGAUACAGCCAGCUGACCAUAGCUGGGCCUUGAACCUGCAGUGCGGUGUAUUUUGGGAGGUUACUCAAGGUGGAAAGCCAGUAUUUCAAAUACAAGCCAGUUUCCUGAAGGAGGUUCAAGAAUUGGUACCAAAGAGACCAGAUGUAAACCCAGAAUUCAAGGUGUGAGAGCCAAGAGUCAGGAAUGCAAGAAAAUUUGAUUGAAGUGAGAGCGGUCGAGAACAGUUGAAGAUGGUCCGGAUAGAAUGAUGUCCAAGAAUACUAUUGAUUGUCCGUGGCCAGCAGGAGGAGAUGGUGCAGCAUAAGCCAGCGGAGUUAAAAACUCAAAUUCAUGUAACCAGAGCUUUUGUGGACAGCUGUCUCCAGCUGCAUGAAGCGGGCCGUCUGGACUCCGCCGCUGCUUCCAUGGCGAAAUACUGCCUCAACAAGAACCCAGCCAGAAAUAUAGUUGAUGAGGAAAGUAUUCAUUGUGUGAAAACUCUCCUGAGAUUUAUUUCACAUAGUGGUUUCUACUACCCACCCUAAGCCUGUGUUGGUGAGCAGUGGAGCCCUGUCUUCAAACAAAAGCCUGUGCAGAGUCCCUGUGAGAUGCUGAUGAAUGAAGAGCCACUCUAGUGGAAGCGGGAAGCCUUCCUACCUCACUGCCUGGGAACCAGCAUUUGCCUCCCCCAACUAGAGAACGCGGUUGCUUCUCUAUCUACUGACACCUGGGCUUUCAAGAGAUUUCCAUCCCAGUUUAAUUUAUAGGAGAAUACAGAACAAUCCAUCAUCCUUUAGUUUCAAGAUAUUGGUAGAUUAUAUAGAUAUCAAAACAGUAACUUUUAUUUUGAAGCAGUGUACUUUUUAAAGUUAAUUUAACAAAUCUUUAUGUCUUCUCUAAGCCACGAUGUUGAAUAUGAUGGCAAAUGAAACUGGCAGGAUCUCUGCCUGCUUAAUAAGUGAAUAAGCAAAUAAGUUGUCAUAAAGAAGUAAAUAAGAUAAUUUCAAAUCAUGAUAAGUGCAAUAAAAGAAAUACAGUGAUCAUUUAGAAUAGGAAAGUGAGAGACAACACUUAAUUUGAGACUUAAAAGUAAUUGUUAUCGUGGGGCCAGCCCCAUGGCUGAGUGGUUAAAUUUGUGCGCUCCGCUGCGGUGGCCCAGGGUUUCGCAGGUUUGGAUCCUGGGUGCAGACAUAGCACGGUUCAUCAGGCCAUGUUGA